rnacentral:lncRNA from 1 species
GGCGGGGUGGGGGCCCUAUUUAAGGAGCACUCUCUGAGAGCAUCACUGCAGAUCCAGCCCCAAGAGCGAGAGGAGCCUUCACUGGCUUCCCAAGCGCAAGUAGAAAGAGUGACAGGACACUCACACAGACAUGUCCUUGAUCCCUUCUCGUCCUUCCCCCACCAUCCAGCAAUAACGUGAGAGAAAUCAAAGAAGUACAGGAGGCGGGCAGCGGACAGUCUUGCCGCGCUCCGCCGCUUUCCGGCCCGGGCCGCUGUCCCCGCUGCCGCUGCUGCUGCUGGCGGGCGGGCGCAGCACGGUCCUCCGCACCACGGUCCUCCGCACGCGGUCCUCGGGCUCGCGCACGCGCGGAGCCGCCUGCAGCAGGAACUCGCCGCCGCGGUAGGUGACGCGCACGUCGGUGCGCGGGUACGUGCCGUACACGCGCCGCAGCUCCCGCCGCACAAAGUCGGGCAGCUCCAGGCGCGGACCCAGCGCACGCACCACGUGGCCCCAGCGCAGCUCAGCCUGUAGGCGGCCGCCCUCCGGCCACGGCGCCGCGCUCUCGGCCGCCGCCAUCCCUGCCGCUGCGGGCGCCUGAGGCGACGGCCCCAGGUAGCCGGGGGCGGCGUAGGCCUGCGGGAAGACCCACAAGGGCGGCACGGCCCCCAGGGGCGCACCCGGGCCGUGGAAGCAGUGGUAUUCCCGCGGGGCGCCCCACUCCCCCGCUCUCAGGCUCCGGGGCCGGCUGCAGAAGUUGUGGGCCUGGAUGGGGGGCAGCAGCAGAGGGGCCGGCAGAUCCAAUGUAAUCACAAGAGUCUUUAAAUGUCGAAGAGGGAGGCCAAAGAGUCGGAGUGAUGUAACAUGAGCGUUGACCAGCCAUUGCUGGCUUUGAAGAUGGAAGAGGGGCGCGAGCUGAGGAGUGCAGGCAGCCUCUAGAAGCUGGAAAAGGGGAAAAAAUGGAUUCUUCCCUGGAGCCUCCAGAAAGGAA